rnacentral:rRNA from 1 species
UACGGGGGGGGCAAGCGUUGUUCGGAAUUAUUGGGCGUAAAGAGCUCGUAGGCGGCUUGUCACGUCGGGUGUGAAAGCCCGGGGCUUAACCCCGGGUCUGCAUUCGAUACGGGCAGGCUAGAGUGUGGUAGGGGAGAUCGGAAUUCCUGGUGUAGCGGUGAAAUGCGCAGAUAUCAGGAGGAACACCGGUGGCGAAGGCGGAUCUCUGGGCCAUUACUGACGCUGAGGAGCGAAAGCGUGGGGAGCGAACAGG